UUCUCGAUAUUCAAAUCUCAGAUCUUAGUUCCAUUAAGAUUUUCAUUCCUGUAGAUAGAAUUUCAGGCACUUUCUCUUGAUUUACUGAAAUAGAGAACUUGUAGUUUGAUUCUCGAGGUUUGUUCCUGGCCUGAUGAUCUAAUGUGUAUAAUUUAGCAGUUUUGGGUUGGGGUUGUUUUUAUCUGGGUCUCUUGAAAUUGGUGAGAUUUGAGUUGGAUUUUGUACUUUUCUGAUGAAAUUCUGGGUUUUUAAGGAAAUUCCAUGAUUGUUGGAGUUAAAUGGAGCUGUAGUGUAUAAUUCUGUGGUGGAAAAGUUGCUGUGGUAUUUUUAUCAUUGAAUGUUCUGAUAACUCGGCUUCAAGUAAAAAUUGGGAUUUGGAACAUUUUAGAGAGAAGAGUCCAAAGGUUUGUUGCAGAUGGGGAAGCCAUUGUUCUAUGAGAUCAUGGAAAAACCGGCUACUAGUUGUAUGAUAGGGAUAUGCAGUACCCAAUGUUUUUCUUCUGUAUAUAG
rnacentral:misc_RNA from 1 species